rnacentral:rRNA from 1 species
UACAGAGGGGCUAGCGUUGCUCGGAAUCACUGGGCGUAAAGGGUGCGUAGGCGGGUCUUUAAGUCAGGGUGAAAUCCUGGAGCUCAACUCCAGAACUGCCUUUGAUACUGAAGAUCUUGAGUUCGGGAGAGGUGAGUGGAACUGCGAGUGUAGAGGUGAAAUUCGUAGAUAUUCGCAAGAACACCAGUGGCGAAGGCGGCUUACUGGUCCGGAACUGACGCUGAGACG